rnacentral:rRNA from 1 species
UGUGGGUGGCGAGUGGCGGACGGGUGAGUAAUGCAUCGGGACCUGCCCAGACGUGGGGGAUAACGUAGGGAAACUUACGCUAAUACCGCAUACGUCCUACGGGAGAAAGCGGGGGAUCGAAAGACCUCGCGCGGUUGGAUGGACCGAUGUUCGAUUAGCUAGUUGGUGAGGUAAUGGCUCACCAAGGCGACGAUCGAUAGCUGGUCUGAGAGGAUGAUCAGCCACACUGGGACUGAGACACGGCCCAGACUCCUACGGGAGGCAGCAGUGGGGAAUAUUGGACAAUGGGCGAAAGCCUGAUCCAGCAAUGCCGCGUGUGUGAAGAAGGCCUUCGGGUUGUAAAGCACUUUUAUCAGGAGCGAAAUACUGCCGGCUAAUACCCGGCGGGGCUGACGGUACCUGAGGAAUAAGCACCGGCUAACUUCGUGCCAGCAGCCGCGGUAAUACGAAGGGUGCAAGCGUUAAUCGGAAUUACUGGGCGUAAAGCGUGCGUAGGCGGUUCUUUAAGUCUGCUGUGAAAUCCCCGGGCUCAACCUGGGAAUGGCAGUGGAUACUGGAGAGCUAGAGUGUGAUAGAGGAUGGUGGAAUUCCCGGUGUAGCGGUGAAAUGCGUAGAGAUCGGGAGGGAACAUCAGUGGCGAAGGCGGCCAUCUGGAUCAACACUGACGCUGAGGCACGAAAGCGUGGGGAGCAAACAGGAUUAGAAUACUCUGUUAGUCCACGCCCUAAACGAUGCGAAGCUGGAUGCUGGUCUCAACUCGGAGAUCA